GAAUCUCUCCCCGGACUCACUUUCGCCCGAUUUCUGCAUCUGAACUAUCCCCUGGAGGAGGAAGUGAGUCAGAAUUCGAAUCUGAAAAAGAUGAAGCGAGUGUUCCCAUUCCUUCCCAAGUUGAUGUAUUUGAAGACCCACAAGCAGAUCUCAAACCUUUAGAGGAAGAUGCAGAGAAAGAAGGUCACUACUAUGGAAAGUUAGAGCUUGAGUCUGGGAAGUUCCUGCCCAGGUUAAAAAAAUCUGGAAUGGAGAAGAGUGCUCAGACAUCACUGGAUUCCCAGGAGGAGGCAACUGGGAUUCUGCCGAAACAAAAUCAGUGUUUGGAAUGUAACUUUAACGAAUCUCUAGAAAUUAAUUUAGAAAGCUCAGCAGCAAACUGUAAAAUAAUGACACAAUGUGAGGAAGAGAUGAGUGAGUUUUGCAGUUGCAAAGCAGGUUGUCAGUUCCCUGCUUGUGAAGAUAAUCCAGUUUCUUCAGGACAAUUGGAAGAGUUUCCUGUACUGAACACUGAUGUGCAAGAAGUAACAAGAAAUCAAGAAAAGCAGAGCUGGUGGGAAAAAGCUUUGUACUCUCCCCUUUUCCCCACGUCAGAGUGUGAAGACGCAAGUUACAAUGAGGCUUUAUCUAGACCGCUUCUGGGGACUGAUGG
ensembl:processed_transcript Gm42936 predicted gene 42936